rnacentral:rRNA from 1 species
GAUGAACGCUAGCGACAGGCUUAACACAUGCAAGUCGAGGGGCAGCACAGGGUAGCAAUACUUGGGUGGCGACCGGCGCACGGGUGAGUAACGCGUAUGCAACUUACCUAUCAGAGGGGGAUAGCCCGGCGAAAGUCGGAUUAAUACCCCAUGAAACAGGGGUCCCGCAUGGGAAUAUUUGUUAAAGAUUCAUCGCUGAUAGAUAGGCAUGCGUUCCAUUAGGCAGUUGGCGGGGUAACGGCCCACCAAACCGACGAUGGAUAGGGGUUCUGAGAGGAAGGUCCCCCANAUUGGUACUGAGACACGGUCCAAACUCCUACGGGAGGCAGCAGUGAGGAAUAUUGGUCAAUGGGCGAGAGCCUGAACCAGCCAAGUAGCGUGCAGGAUGACGGCCCUAUGGGUUGUAAACUGCUUUAUAAGGGAAUAAAGUGGGAGUCGUGACUCUUUUGCAUGUACCUUAUGAAUAAGGACCGGCUAAUUCCGUG